GGGGGGGGGCGCUUACAAAAUGUUACAGUUUGGAGUAACAUUCUUGCCUCCUACUUUACUAUAAAAGAAAGAUGAGAGUUGUUCAUUAUGUGGCUGCUUCCUGCUGAAUAGGGGCACUGUAGUCAGGGUUUGGGUUUUGAAGUACUGCGUGUCGUCUUCAGAGUUGUUUUCCUGGAGGCGCUGAUACCGGACUUGGUGGAGAAGGAUGGUAUGAAUGUGUUUCUAGGUGGCUGCCUGGACAAGGGAGUUCAGCCUUUGGGAGAUAAAGCAGAAUAUAAAGUUCACAGAUCUAUGGAUAGCAGGAGCCACAUCUGGACCUGUGGCUCUGCUCUCAUCUCUGCAAUUUAGAAACCACCAUGAAUUAUCAAAAAUCCUAGACUCUGAUUUGAUGUUAUGAAUGGAUAAAACUUUUCUAUUUUCUCCAAUGGGAAGACAGAGAAUAUAUGUUGCUUGCAAGAAAGAAUAAAGCAAAUAUUUGGAACCAAA
rnacentral:lncRNA from 1 species